rnacentral:lncRNA from 1 species
AAAGCGUUGACCGAGGUACAUUUUGUAUGAAGCGUGGAAACAUUCAUUCUAAAAAUGUGUGCGCAGUAAACUCAUUUACAACCGAAGUUACAAAAAGAAGAAUUCAAUACUUAUAAUUACAUUUUUUAGCUAGGAUCAUGAAAACACGAUUUUCAUCAAGUUUUUAUUUAAUUUACCUGUGCACUAUAUUGUGGACCUCUUGUCAUCAUGAAUGAUAAAUUUUAUUGUGUAAUGCAAUUGCCUAAGGCAUAACGUGAGACUGCAGUGUAGCCAAUCAGAAUAACAUAUUAUAAUGAAACAUACAUCUAAUGUAAUUAUUGUCCAAUGGCAAAUAUUUCAUGCAUAAUCAGGAUAAUACUGUGUCCAAUUUAUAGAAAAUACUGACUAACAUCAAUAAAUCUACCUUGUGAUAAUCUUGCUUGAAAAUAAAUACAUUGUCACUAAAGAGGGUCUGGAUGGGUGUUACAUAAUAGAGAAAAGUGGCGAAAAAAGGUUAGAGAAAAAUUGGAUGAAUUAAGAAUGGAAAAUAAUGGGGAGCGCAAACCAAAAAAAUAGAAAAACAGAAUGUUAUUUUGAGAAUAGCUAAUAAAUACCUAAAUAAUUAAAAAGUACAGAUGUAGCAAACAAACCUAGAUGUUCCCAGGAUUGUGGGGUUAGAUGAUCCCUGACCAGAUCACAUUAAACUUUUUUUAUAAAAAUUGUAUGUGUUGCUUCUCCACCAAACAUACUGUAGUUUGGGCAAAGGUUAUUGGACUCAUGUAAUUUUGCUGGCUACUAUUGGGUAGGUGUGUUGGUCUUGUACAAAUAUGCAUGUAAUAUUUGUUGCUGGAUGUUCAGCAUCAAUCCAUUAAUAAUUUUGGAGGAUUUCUAUUAUAAAGUUCACAGCAAAU